rnacentral:piRNA from 1 species
GUUAACAACUUUAGGGUAGCGGGUA